AACGAACGCUGGCGGCAGGCUUAACACAUGCAAGUUGAACGGGAUUUAUUUAGUACUUGUACUGGAUGAUGAGAGUGGCGCACGGGUGAGUAAUAUGUAGGAACAUACCUAUUGGUCGGGAAUAACGGUUGGAAACGACAGCUAAUACCGGAUAAGCCCUGAGGGGGAAAGAUUUAUCGCCGAUAGAAUGGCCUGCAUCAGAUUAGGCAGUUGGUGGGGUAAAGGCCUACCAAACCGACGAUCUGUAGCUGGUCUGAGAGGACGAUCAGCCACAUUGGGACUGAGACACGGCCCAGACUCCUACGGGAGGCAGCAGUGAGGAAUAUUGGGCAAUGGGGGCAACCCUGACCCAGCCAUGCCGCGUGAGUGAAGAAGGUUUUCGGAUUGUAAAAGCUCUUUCGGAUGUGACGAUGAUGACGGUAGCAUCUAAAAGAAGCCCCCGGCAAAAACUUCGUG
rnacentral:rRNA from 1 species